rnacentral:rRNA from 1 species
CAUGCUCCCGGCCGCCAUGGCCGCGGGAUUGGAUGACGGUUCUAGGAUUGUAAACCACUUUCAGGAGGGAAGAAAAUGACGGUACCUCCACAAGAAGACCCGGCCAACUAUGUGCCAGCAGCCGCGGUAAUACAUAGGGGUCAAGCGUUGUCCGGAUUUAUUGGGCGUAAAGAGCUCGUAGGCGGUUCAACAAGUCGGUCGUAAAAGUUUAGGGCUCAACCCUAAAAUGUCGAUCGAUACUGUUGUGACUAGGAUACGGUAGAGGUGAAUGGAAUUCCGAGUGUAGCGGUGAAAUGCGUAGAUAUUCGGAGGAACACCAAUUGGGAAGGCAGUUCACUGGACCGUGAUCGACGCUGAGGAGCGAAAGCUAGGGGAGCAAACAGGAUUAGAUACCCUGGUAGUCCUAGCUGUAAACGAUGGAUACUAGAUGUAGGAACUGGAUUGACGGUUUCUGUAUCGUAGCUAACGCGUUAAGUAUCCCGCCUGGGGAGUACGGUCGCAAGACUA